AAUACACAAUUAACACCUCAACCUUUCCAACUAGAUCUUCUGCCUUACUUGUCUCAGGGUUCUGACAAGACAUGGCAUAUCCUACUCUUCAGAGGGCCAUCAAAAAGAGGGACAAAGUUUUGGACAAACACAAAGAAUCCACAUCCACCUCAAAAUCUUCAGUCAAAUCAAUUGAAUUUAAAACUCCACCAGAUGCAUAUUGUCCUUAUAGUAGAAUCUCCUACAGUUGAGAGCGAAGCCCACCAAACGGUGAAUCCCUUCUGGGUUCUGCAAGGAACAAAAUGAUGUGCUUGUAAAUGGAGAUGUUGGAGAUGUCUACAGGAGACCCACCAAGUUCUUACUGUGAAAAUUGGAGUAUAAUCCCUUCAUGUUUCUGGCAGAGGGAGGAUAAAAAUAACUACUGUAACGUAAGCCCAGAGCAGCUUGCCUUUACCCUCUCCUUCAAGGGAAAUUACAAGAGCCUAACUAAUGUGAGGUAAGAAAAACAUUCAAUCCAUUCAACUCCAUCCCCCUCUAGCUUUCCUGCUUCACUUAAGUGGGGAAAAGCUGAGAAGCACUUUCAAAGGUCAUAGCCCAGGACACAGGCUCAGUGGAAGAUAGCGACCCAAUCGUAGGACUAUAGAAUGCUCUUUUCCCCAUACCU